CCCUUAGAUGUUCUGGGCUGCACGCGUGCUACACUGAUUAUUUCAACAAGUGUUUUAACUGGAGAGUUCGCGUAAUCCUGAAAUGUUAUCGUGAUGGGAGUAGAGUAUUGUAUUUGUUAAUCUUUAACGAGGAGUUCCUAGCAAGUGUAGGUUUAUAAGUUGUUCUGAUUACGUCCCUGCCCUUUGUACACACCGCCCGUCGCUCCUACCGAUUGAUUGAUCCGGUGAAUUACAUAGAAUUUUGCGUUUUACAUGACGGAAGACGAAGUGUUUUAAACCUUAUCAUUUAGAGGAAGGAGAAGUCGUAACA
rnacentral:rRNA from 1 species